AAGACUAUAGACCUGCGGAGUACCUGCGGAAGGAUCAUUACCAAGAGAAAUCUUUCAACACUGAAAGAUCUUUUCCUUUGUGCUGGCUUUGACCGUAUGUAAUUUUGGGACUUUAAAAUGGUUCGCAAGGGCCGGUCCCAAAAACAAUAUAUCAUCCUUAUGAAAUUUUUUCUGAACAAUUAAACAAAUGAUUUUAAUAAUCUGUUUAAAACAACUUUUAACAACGGAUCUCUAGAUCGG
rnacentral:misc_RNA from 1 species